GACGGAGGAUGCAAGCGUUAUCCGGAAUGAUUGGGCGUAAAGCGUCCGCAGGUGGCAGUUCAAGUCUGCUGUCAAAGACCGGGGCUUAACUUCGGAAAGGCAGUGGAAACUGAACAGCUAGAGUGUGGUAGGGGCAGAGGGAAUUCCUGGUGUAGCGGUGAAAUGCGCAGAGAUCAGGAAGAACAUCGGUGGCGAAGGCGCUCUGCUGGACCAUAACUGACACUCAGGGACGAAAGCUAGGGGAGCGAAUGGG
rnacentral:rRNA from 1 species